AGAAAGAAGAUUGAGAAGAAUUGUGAAGAGAAAGUUGAAAAUACUCUGGGAACUUUCUUCUUGUCUAAAGCUGAAGAGUUAACCGGCGGCGGAGCAGGAUUUUGUGAGGAAUACAGAAGCUGCAAAAGCAUUAAGGAUUUGAUGAAGUUUGCAAAUAUUGCAGAAGGUUUUAGCAAACAACUAUUCGCAGAGGAAUAUAUGCAAA